GAGAAAGUGCUACUGGUUGUGUCGUUACCACUCUGGAAUCAAUAAGACAAAACAAAAGAAUAAUGCUUUCAAAUCAAAUAAAAGAAUUUUAAGAAAAAGUAAAUACAAUAAACACAAAAAACAUCAAUGAAGAGAACUCAAAAAAAUCUAAAUCUUCGCAUCUAUAUUCUUAAUAAUGGAAUAUUCUUCAAAAUUAUUGUGGAACAGGCAUGAAAAUCAAAAUUUUGAUAAAAGGAUCAUUUUGAUACCUCGGAUACAGGCGAUGAAGAGGAUGCUGACGAAUUUAUAGGAGAACGAUGUAAGAGUCUAUUAAUGUACUCCAUAACGUGUUUAUCAGCGAAUACAACACUGUGCUAACAAUCCAAAGGAGAGAAAAAGAGAGAGAGAGAGAGAGAGAGAGAGAAAGAGAGAGAGAGAGAGAAGGGGAAGAAAAUCCGAGAAAGAGAGAAAGACGAAGUUCGCGCUGUGGCCUACCUCUGUUCACUAGGCCGAUAAUAACGGUGCACUAAAAAGAGAAUCAGCUGACUUUGACUCGCUAGGGCAACAAGCCUCGAGAGAUUUCGUUUAAAAAAUUACGCAACCACCAGUAGCGGCGUAUGCGUUUCGCUCAUUCUAAUAAUAAAUAUAUCUCAGGGAGAAAGCUUUUGCCACGAUAGAAAUCAGUCUUGUCAAUAUAAGUCUCAUUUAUUCCGAGAUCUCUUACGCACGUGUAGUGACAUACUUUUUAUCCUUAUAUAAGAAACACGGAAGAGAUUCCUUUUUCUUUUUAUUUUUGGCGCAAACGCUUUGAAAAUGAAUAUGGAAAUUUAAAGGUAAACAUAGUAUUGGCCUGUAUUUAUAUAUGAUACUAAUAUAUAAUACUAAUAUAAUAGAUGUAUUAUAAUACUAAUAUAGUAAGAGAUUAAUAAUAUAAUAUUAGUAUAUUAGUAUUAUAUAUAAUACAUAUAAUAUUAUUUCUUAUAUAUAAUAUAAUAGACUCCCGUACAAUACGAGUUUCUACAAUGCAAAUUUUUACAAUGCGCUAAAAAUAUUGGGACGAUUUUCUUCUGCUUCGUAAUUGUUUUGUUUUUUCUCCAACAUAAUUAUAUUAUCCACAUUAUAUGAGGAAAAUUCUCAUAUAACACGAUUUCUUAUAACGCGAUUUCAUACAACGUGGAACGUAUUAAUUGCAUUGUACGGUAGUCUACAGCAAUUCCAUCUAUAUAAUAAUUUAUAAAAUAAUAAUAAAAAAAUAAUAUUAUUAUACAUGUACAUUGCAGAUAUAAAGAAAAAAAGAAAAAUACGUACACACAAAAUAAAACUCUUAUCACAGAAAUUUCUUGUUAGACUUACUUUUAUGGUAUUUAAAAUAAACAUCAUUUGACAAGAGAUACGCUAUUCUAUUCGAAUGUUUUUUUCUUUGCAAUGAUUACCUUCUGAAAAAGAUUGCCCAUCUUUUCACUUUUAAGGAAGCUUCUCUUUUGAGUAAAGUAUUCAAGUUCUUUCCGUAUUUAUCACGUUCCUUCUUUUACUCACGGAACCACCCCACAGAGCGAAAAAGAGAAGUCAUUCCCCUUUCUCUAUAUAUUUCUUCUACGACACUUGACACACUGUUGUCUCUGACAAAAUAAGAAGCACCCAACGGUGCUUCCAAACUGACAACUUUGUCUUCGAACCUGGCAUACAAAUUUUUCAAACGCGUUCUCGCGCCCUUCCGGUAUUAUUUAUUUGGUUUGCUCGGUUAGCUUAUAUUGGAUGACACCAUUUCCGUUGUCGCCAUUUCUCUUUUUAAUCAAUGCAGACUAACUAAAUAUGCGGUUGUUACUUUAAAAGGAUAUUCCAAGGACACGAAAAGAAACUAUAGUUAAUUUUAACAUAUUUGACUCGAAAGUAUACACCCUGUCUUUAUAAUUGCUCUCGCGCACAAAUUUGAAUUUCGCGCCAAAUUAUUGGAAUCUCUUUUCACACGAUUAUUAUCGCUAAUUCUACAAAUAUUUUUUUCUUUUUUCUCCCCACAAAUAUUAGUAAUAAUAUAUUGUAUUGUGAUGAAUGAAUCAUAAAUCUUGAAUGUUCGGCGAAUAAAAGUAUUUUUUUAAAUGUUUAACACGUUCCGUGUCAGUCUAAUUUUUGGACACUUUCCACUUAGGACGUGUGGGGUGUACACGCCGUAUGUUUACGAAUAAAUAGUUUUGCUUCUAACAUAUGCCUUACAAUCUGUACAAUAAUACAAAGACCAAUUAUCAAGGAAAAGGUGUAGAGUAUAAGAUGUAUAAAAGCAGUACAUGAUAUUAAGAUCUCGAUACUUGAUUUUACAAUAAAGUUUUUAAAAAUUCUUUUUACAAUGAGAAUUCCGAAUGGCUUGAAUGGAAAAUUCAGUGUGGGGCACAUACGCUCCACACGGCACGAAACAUGUUAAACGAUCGAAAAAUUCGAAAUAAUCAUUUAAAACAACUCGAAAAUUUCUAAGUUUUUCAAUAACUGCGGAAUAUAAGAAUGACAUGAUAGGUGGCGCUAGUAUUCUUACGGAAAAAGUAGGACACUACAGCUGUUUAUACGUAAAGAUUUUAUAGAAUAAUGAUGAUGAGAAUACGUGUUUUCUCGUUAACCUCUUUUGUGUUUAAUAUCGAUGGUAUAAAUAUAUAUUUUUUAUCUGAUUAGAACAUUGAACAAAGAAUGAUUAUUAUUUGAAAAUAGGUAGAAAUUUGUAUGUACAUGAAAAAAGCAAUUGACUUUUUGGUGGAUGACGUAAAUUCACUGAUAAGAUGUAUAAUUAUGUAAAAAAAUAAUAAGACGUUAUAUUAACCACUUGUUCAAGAAUAACUUAAAUACUCUGCUUAUAUGUUAACAGGAAAAAGUCAAGUGAAAUCGUAAAACAACAGACUUUGACUUAUAUAUUUCAGUCCUAGGUCAAUAUAAUUGAAAGAUCAAUAAAAUCUUUUGAAUGACAGAGGGCAUUUUGGCCAGACAAAAGAAUCAUUUUCGUUAAAACACUACAACGAAAUUGACUGUACGUAGCAAUCUCUCGAUAUGAUGAUAUCAUAAGAAAAUGAGUUAUACCAUCCUACUUAAAUGAUACUUUGAAUUUAUUAUCGCCAAAUAAAAAAAAACAAAAACAAAAUUUGAAGAUGACAACGAUAGCCAAACCAAAAAAGAAAGCAUAACUCGAACAAAUCAAUAUGACAAAUUAUAAUUUGUUUUAUACAAUUAUCGAUGAUGACAAUGAUAAUAAUGAUUAUGUAAGAAAAAAAAACAGAAAGAAAGAAAGAAAGAAAAAAGAGAAAGAAAAGUUAUUCAAUGACAAUUUACCUCAGCUUUUUGAUUGUUCUAAAACACAAAUGUCGACGAUCUCAGAGCGUGAUACACAGUAAAGGAAGAUAGAACAUACAUAGACAGAAGAAAGAGAGACGAAGAAGAAAGUAUAUAAUAACGUAGAAUGUAUGUAUAUGACUGGCUUACAGUGCGCACGGCGACGUGAACGUGCGUGAAAAUACGAAGAUCUGUUCGGGUCUGUUCGGCUCUGGGGGAAUCGAUUCCCCGAGCCCUCGAAGUUCGAGAGACUCGCGCUCCUUAUUCGGAGCGUUCUUGACAUCGAAUCGCGAAUACGACAGACAACGACACACGGAGCAGUAAGCAGCAGUGAAUGGUACGAAGAGACAUUGCGUGAGUCAUUCCCUAUUUGCACUAAAAGAAAGAAGUCCACCACCUCCAUCUCGUCAUCCUGCUCCUCCUCCUCCUCCUUCACUUCCUAUUCGCAAUUGAGACAUGAUGCAGCAACAUAAAGGAAAGAGAGGAGAGAAAGAGAGAAAGAGAGAGAGAGAGAGAGAGAGAGAGAGAGAGAGAGAGAGAAAUAGUAAUAGGUGGAUGAAGAUAGACCUUGUCUCGAGGGGGUGUGUCAAGGCACAGCCGACAAGACAUUUAAUUCGAGUGAUAAAGUAAACGAUUCUAAAGAAUUCUGGGAGUUCCAAAAAGACGAGAAAACAGAUACACCAUAUGUUGUGCAACUCACUUUUUUCCCAUAAGCUUUAGUUUAUUUUCCUAUUACUUUUUGUUUAUUUUUAUUAUGUAAGAAAUAAAGUAUACAGGAAAGUAUAUAUAUAUGCACAUAUAUGUACGAUGUUAAGUAAGUCAGAUAUGUUCCUCCAUCAUGAUAAAUGUUGAUCAACAGUAUUCUAAAAUUUAUAUCGAGAGAAAAAAAUAAAAAAAAAAUUUCAAUUAAUUUGAAAUAAAUUAAAUCGAGAGGGGGGAAGGGAGAAUGAAUGAAGAUAGGCAUUGAUAUAACUGAAAGGUAAAAACAAUCGAGAGACAGUCUUCGAUCACAUCUGCACACUUGUGCAAACCUUCGAUCCAUACGUACGAUUCUCUUCCUUAUUCGUCUUCUAAUAUUAGAAUUCGCAUAGCGUAUCGGCUGACGACGUAUGCAAGUACGAGAGAGAGAGAGAGAGAGAGAGAGAGAGAGAGAGAAAGAGAGAAAGAGAGAGAGAGAGAGAGAGAGAGAGAGAGAGAGAGAGAGAGAAGAGAAAGAUAAAAACGGCAAGAAAGGAAGAUAGUAAUGGUGGUGGGAGAAAAACGAGAAGAGGCGGGGCGCGAUUCGAUCGCUCACCUUUCGUUCCUCGUGUUAUCGAAAAUUUGUUCCUCUCCUACGUAAAUAUGCGUGCGUGUGUAUGUGCAUAUAUACACGUACGAUGUGAUCGCGUGCAAAAGCCGCCGAUGAUCGUACAGCGGUGCGCGCGCCAAUUUUCUUGUUGUCUUCGUCUCUUCGUUGUCUUCUUGUUUAUUCAAUUUUCGUUAGUAAACGGUAGUGCGUUCUAUAUUAUAUCUUACUAAUAUAUUAAAUCGUCGUCUAACGUUGUGAAUAUUUCCGAGCUCGCGCAAAGCCGCUCCUCCUUUUACUUGUCGCUUCGGCGACGUUCUUUACAGCACGCAGCUCGAAGCGCGCACAAGCCGCGAAGAUCUCCGAACAUGAAGAUAGAAGGUACUCCUGGAAAUACAGAGUUUAUUUAUAGGAGUUCGUCCUCCGGUCGACUAUCAGCAAACGCCCAUAGAAGACAAGAAGAAGAAAAAGUAGAAGUAGAAAUAGAAGAAGAUAAAAAGAAAAUGGAAAAAAUGAAGAAGACGAAAGGAACCAAAAAAAAAUAUUUUUAUUUCUGUUUUUUCUCCCCUCUCUCUUUGUAUUUUAUUGUUCUUUGCGGAACAAUAGUUUUGUAUCGUUUAAACUUAUAUUAAGAAAAAUAUAAAAAUAAAAAGAAAAUAAAAGGGAUACCUUACGACGA